rnacentral:rRNA from 1 species
UUUAAAUUGAGAGUUUGAUCCUGGCUCAGGAUGAACGCUGGCGGCGUGCUUAACACAUGCAAGUC